GCAGACAACAACCGCUGGGCGAUGAUUUUGCAGCAAAAUUUAAAGUGGAAGACUGGACGUGAAAGUGGUGGAGAAAAUACAUGCUGGACCGAGCUCCGUGAAAAUUAACAAAAAUGGCAGAAAAUCACCAUGCUCAUUUAAUGCAUCUUGAUCAUGUCAACAGGCUCAGAGAGAUAGCCAAUUGGCCCAGACCCUGACUGGAUUCCUUUUGAGUUGUACAUGGAUGAAGCCUUUCGAAUGCGGUAUCACUGCACUCCAUCUCAUCAACAUGCUUGAGGGUGAUCUGAGGAGGAAUACAGAAUGUAGUGAACCUCUACCUGUUGUCAUAUGUGCCAUCGAUAGGACUAACGUCUACAUUAGGAGUCCUGUUGGGGAACAAGCCCUGUACUUCCUUAACCGGAAGAACAGGUAUUCUGUCACUGUGCAGAUUGCAUUUUUAAUGUAAAUGUAUACUCUGUUAUGCCAGUCUGAACUUUUGGGAAAGGGUCGAUAAUGUGACUUGUACUCCUAUCAUCAUUCCAAUGUCACUAAAUAUAAUAGCUGUCAUUGACUUUUUUAAGCAUUGAAAUUUAGAUUGUUUUAUUUCGCACCCUCUCUUUGUAAUGUACUGUACAGUUUUUAUUUGUCCUUUAAAUAUGCUCUUGAGCAUUUUCCUUACAAAUUUAUUAUCUAGACAUUAGACGCUACAGACUGAGAAUCUAAGUGACUCUUUCGAUACUUGUGUUUGAUAUAUACAAAAUCUUAUAAUUCCAUUGUAUUUCUUUAAGUUUAGUGUGAAAAUCAUUCAGACAAAGACCAGAUCCUUCUCCUAUUAGGUUUACUUUAAAAAUGAAUACUCACUUUCUUACUGUCAUGCUCUUCAUGUAUUUUUCAAUUGAUGCCGAAGUCAUAAAUCAAUAUUCAAUAAAUACUUAAUCAUCAUAGAGAGUGAAGAAUAUGUGUAUAUUAAUAACAUAAAUAUAAUAUAUUAUUACCCAUAUUUGACAUCUGAGCUGGACAUUUAAAAUGUAUUGCCCUAUAGUUUUCAUGAAUAUUGAUAAUGAGUCAGGUACUGUAUACUAUAAUUGUUUUUCUCAGUCUUUCUAGUACAAUUUCAUCCAUUACAACAUAAUUCCUAAUUUAUGAAUAUAUAUCUAUAUAAAGUUUUUAUGAUAUCAAUAUUCAAAUGAAUUCUCUAUAAUUUCCCAACCACAUCGGAAAAUCAAGGACUUCUGUAAUUUCUUUAGCUGUAAGUAUUUAAUAUAACCUGCAAUAUUGUUUAUGCAGUGCGUCCCAGAAAAAACGAAACCGAGAUUUAUCGAUGAUUUAUAAUAACUUAAUCACAAAUACAAUAGACAAAUGACCUACCAUUGUAAAUCUCCUCUUUCAUCUAAAAUUACUUAGAUUAUUUCUCAUUCACGCAUGAGUGAGCAAAACAAUUUGAAAAGGGGAUACCAAAAAGUCAUUUGGCGGGCUCUAUCUGGGUUUCAAAAAGAAAAGCACGUUUUUAAAAAGUUCAAUAUCUGUUCUGUAAUGUGAUACUUCAAUUACAGAAAAUGGUCAAGAAAUAACAAAGUUCUGGUUAUUUUAAAUAAGGCUUGAAUUUCAAUAAUUUCAUAAAAUGAAGAGGGUUUACAGGCUAGCGUUUAAACUCACUCGACACUCCGUUUUGUUGACGAUCAGCCAUGCAUUCAGUCUUUUUUAACCAUGUGAUAGCUUCUGUGGGAAACCGGUGAAAACACGUUUAUUUAAUGAAACUUCUUGACUAUUUUUUGUGAUUAAGGUAUCAAAUAAAAGAGCAGAUAUUGAACUUUUUAGACAUGUGAUUUUCUUUUUGAAAUUCAGAUACCCCCCCCCCCCGCCAAAUGAGUUUUUUCUUGGACGCACUGAACAAUAUAAAUCCCUCAAAAAAAGUUUGGAAAUCUGUGUUUGGCCAUUAAUUUCUCCCAACUCCCAAUUUUAUACAAUGCAUAUUUUACAUCAUUUAAAAGACCAUUUAAUUCUCUUUAAAAUGAUACCAUGCUUGUUAUGAUUAUGCCAUCGUAAAAAGAGCAGGAUUCAAAAGUGUUGGAUGAGGUCUGAAUUGAAAGCUGCAAAACGAGCAGAAAUAGUCAUGAAGGGUCAAUACAGAACAUGAUUCUUUUUUCUGUGUCAAUACAGAUAAAAAUCCAGUCAAAUCUAGCCCCUGCUUCUGUCGUGAUGGUACUGUGAGAUAACAUGGUUUGAGUCGUGGUUUGAAAUACCUAUGUUUGUUUGUUAUGUGUUUGCUUGUGCAGAGGUGUGUUUGAUUCCAUGUUAAUGUUGAUGUUAAGGUGCAUGAAAACAAUCAAAAGAAACCGAUGAGAAACCCACUCAUCAUAAAUAAAAAAAAGAACAGUGACUUUCAAUAUCAUGUCAUUUUGCAACUUUUGAAUUUUGACCUUAUCCCACAUUUCAAGGCACUGCACCUCCAUGUGAACCAUAAUCAUAUCAUGUAGGUUAUCAUUUUAAAGAAAAUCAAAUGGUCUAUUCAUUGAUAUUAAUUACACAUUGGUAUAGUCCGAGGAUGGAUUAUCGAUCAAAGUCAGAUUUCCAAACUUCUUUGAGGAGUUUAUAUUAUUGGAUUAUAUUUUUUUUAUUAAAUUCAAUUAUUAACAGAAUAUGUGUACAUGCAUGGAUAGACCAUUAUUGAUAUUUUAUUAAUUAAUCCUCGGAAUUAGGGAAGCCAAGGGCUUUUUUUUUUUUGCUGCUUCAAUACAUUUCUGAAAAGAAAAAAUGUCCAUCUUGAUAGCAUGUUCAGCAUUGGCAAUUUCCAUUUUAUUUUCAUAUUCUUCCUCUUUUGUCACACGAGCUCUGUUGAUGCCUUGGGGACAAUUUUCCAAGCUCCUCUUUCGAGGUGAUGCAUUGCUGCUAAAAAUUAUUGACCAAAACCAAAAAAAUAUUUAAUUCCAUGAUAGCAUGAUGUAUUUGAAUUUUAAGAAAUUAAUUUUUACAUGCAUGUCACUCGACUUGCAGAAAAAUUAGUUUUAACAGUCAUAAUCUAUGUAAUCAUAGUUGAAUAAUGUAAAGUGUGGUUAUUCAUGUGUGGAAAAUGUGACAAAAUAAUAUAUUAAAUUUUUGUCAUCAAAUUG